rnacentral:rRNA from 1 species
UCUAUACAUGACUCUGCGCAUAUCAAUAAGCGGAGGAAAAGAUAAUGCUACUACCUACGCUUAGGAUGUUGACGAGACUGUCGAUCUCAUCUAUACAUGACUCUGCGCAUAUCAAUAAGCGGAGGAAAAGAAACUAACUAGGAUUCCCUCAGUAACGGCGAGUGAAGCGGGAAGAGCUCAAAUUUGAAAUCUUCAAGGUUCUACCUUGACGAAUUGUAGUUUAAAGAAGUGUUUUCUGUUGGAGUUUUGGUAAAAGUUCUUUGGAAUAGGACAUCAUAGAGGGUGAGAAUCCCGUAUUUGACCAUUAUUUCCAGCUGUGUGAUACACUUUCAAAGAGUCGGAUUGUUCGGGAAUGCAGUCCAAAAUGGGUGGUAAAUUUCAUCUAAAGCUAAAUAUUGGCGAGAGACCGAUAGCGAACAAGUACCGUGAGGGAAAGAUGAAAAGAACUUUGAAAAGAGAGUUAAACAGUACGUGAAAUUGUCAAAAGGGAAGCGUUUGACACCAGUGUUGUUUAGUUGAAAAUCAAUUCAAUAAUUUUCGAUUUUGAGUAGUAUUGACUUCAUCAGCUUGCUGCUUUCUUUUCGGAAAUUAUUGAAUGCACUUUUCAGUUAACAAGUCAACAUCAAUUUCUUUUGUUGUAAGAGGGUAAGAGGAAGGUGGCUUACGCUUCGGCGUAAGUGUUUAUAGCCUUUUACCUCUGCAAUCGGAGAGAUUGAGGACAGCAGCGUAGAUCCUUCGGGGUUAGAUACGUUUGUGCUAAGUUAUAGCUUUUCAUAGACAACUUGUUGACUAUGUUUAGUCUUGUAGCUUACUCGCUGACGCUAUUUUACCUACGCUUAGGAUGUUGACGAGACUGUCGAUCUC